rnacentral:rRNA from 1 species
GACGAACGCUGGCGGCGUGCUUAACACAUGCAAGUCGAACGAAGUGGCGAACGGGUGAGUAACGGGUAAUCAACCUGCCCUUCAGAGGGGGACAACAGUUGGACACGACUGCUAAUACCCCAUACUGAAGGAGGGGAUUGCGUCUGUUUAGCUAGUUGGGGGGGUAACGGCCCACCAAGGCGAAGAUCAGUAGGCGGUCUGGGAGGAUGAACGGCCAAAAUGGGACUGGGAAACGGGCCAGAAUCCUACGGGAGGCAGCAGUGGGGGAACUUCCGGAAAGGACGGAAGUCUGACGGAGCAAAGCCGGGUGGAGGAUAAAGGGCUUCGGGUUGGAAAGCUCUGUUAGUCAGGACACGGUACCGAAAUAGAAAGCCACGGCUAACUACGUGCCAGCAGCCGCGGUAAUAC